rnacentral:sRNA from 1 species
UUGUAUCUGAAGCCAACGAGGAUGAGAACCUCCGGGGGCAAGAGGUUCGAUUCGAGCGUAGCGAGAAAACGUUGCGUCAGCAACGGCCCGCAGGGCGAGCCACGCAGUGGCGAGUCAUCCUCUAUCACCGACCA